GCAACAUAUUGGUGGGGUGAGGAUACUUGACGGGUUGAAGUUGUUGAGGGUUCUCAAAUUGAAGAGACUUGUCGUUGAGAGGUUUCCCAAAGAGAUUGAGGUGAUGACUCACCUGAGAUACUUGUUCUUUUCCGUUCCUGUAAAAGAAAUUUCAUCAUCCAUUGGAAAAUUUAGAUACUUGCAAACCUUGGACCUUAGGUCUGUCAAUUAUGAG
rnacentral:misc_RNA from 1 species